AACGAACGCUGGCGGCAGGCCUAACACAUGCAAGUCGAGCGGACCUUUCGGGGUCAGCGGCGGACGGGUGAGUAACGCGUGGGAAUAUGCCCUUCUCUACGGAAUAGUCCUGGGAAACUGGGGGUAAUACCGUAUACGCCCUUUGGGGUAAAGAUUUAUCGGGGAAGGAUUAGCCCGCGUUGGAUUAGGUAGUUGGUGGGGUAAUGGCCUACCAAGCCGACGAUCCAUAGCUGGUUUGAGAGGAUGAUCAGCCACACUGGGACUGAGACACGGCCCAGACUCCUACGGGAGGCAGCAGUGGGGAAUCUUAGACAAUGGGGGCAACCCUGAUCUAGCCAUGCCGCGUGAGUGAUGAAGGCCUUAGGGUUGUAAAGCUCUUUCAGCUGGGAAGAUAAUGACGGUACCAGCAGAAGAAGCCCCGGCUAACUCCGUG
rnacentral:rRNA from 1 species